UACGUAGGGGCCUAGCGUUGUCCGGAAUUAUUGGGCGUAAAGAGCUCGUAGGCGGUUCGGCAAGUCGGAUGUGAAAUCUCCACGCUUAACGUGGAGGGGCCAUUCGAAACUGCUGUGACUCGAGUCCGGUAGGGGAGUGUGGAAUUCCCGGUGUAGCGGUGAAAUGCGCAGAUAUCGGGAGGAACACCAGUAGCGAAGGCGGCAUCCUGGACCGGUAUUGACGCUGAGGCACGAAAGCGUGGGGAGCAAACAGG
rnacentral:rRNA from 1 species